AUAUAAACACUCCUCUUUAGGUUUCUGCAUGCAGUGUGAGAGCUUCUUGUCCUUCAGUAUGACAGAGGGAGUUUGUGGGAUCCCAGGAGACUUAAUGCACCAAGCUGGAUCUGAUAAUCUUACAGGAAAACAAAUUCUUUUUUUUUUUUUUCCCCAAAGACUCCCACUUUUUGAGCCUCUUGGAUCGGUUUCCCUCAGCUACCUGAUCAGAUUAUUCACACUGUACCUGGACUGCCACUCUUUUACAGUUUAUAUGGCACCUAAACCCCCAGAAGGCUCAGCAGACAACAAUUCUAUGGCUUUAAUAAUAUAUUAUAUAAUAUAACAUAACUAUCCUCCCAUAAUUAAUUCCCAACUGCAGAUAGGUAUUUUUUCUUUUUCUUUUUUUUUUCCCCUCUUCCUACAUCCACUCUGAUGUGUUAAAUAUGUCUUCAGUGAUGGAGGUCUGCAAGCAGUCUGCUUUAAAAGUUUAGGCUACACAUUGUCUUUAGGGAGGUGACAAUGACUGAUCAUGUACCACCAGCUCUUCAAGCUUCUCCUUACAACAGUCUCUCCUCACAGUCCCAGUGUUUUCAGUGUUCAGGUGCUGUAACUUGAGAUAAUAUCCAGAGUGCUUGAAUUGAAACUUCUAUGAAGAAUACACUCUUGUUUGUCCCUGAACAAGAAAAAAUGUGAACAUAUACAUUGUGUUUGUACUUCUGAUAUGAUGUGGGAAUCUUGGUGAUGGAGCAUCCAAGUACUACAUGUGGUUCUUGAACUUCUGUGAGCAAGUAGAGGUGGAUAAUUCAUCCUGGUAGUUUUGGAGUGCAAUAAACACCAGGAACCUGAAAAGAGGUAAAGUUUUCAAAUUAUUUACUGUUAAUUAUUUUUAGCAAAGAGUACACUUAGCAUUUUAAAGAUGCAAUGAAAAUCUUAUGCUGACUGAGAAAAGCAUCUGCAUGAAAAACAAUUUCUUGUUCUCUCCCAGGAUGUAUUCUUAUCUUUUAAACUUUACCCGGUGUUGUUCCUGACCUUCAUAUUUUUGCAAGCCAACAAUUACUAUUCAUGGCAUUUUCCAUCAGAUUUGUUUGCUGUUAUGUAUUGGUUCUAAAAUUACGGGUCUCGUCCAGUUUUAAUUCUUUUUCCCU